GUUGAGACAACAUAGGCGGAGUUAUCGGACAUAAUUUUGUAAGUUUAGAAAAAGCAAUUGCUCAGUACAUCACAACAGCUCUUCAAUGCAAAAAGGAUGGCUCUUCUCAAGUCAGCAGCUAACUGGACUGGUAACUUCAGGGUAGCUCAGUCAAAUAUGGCAGCUGUUCAGUAAACAACUUCAGUUGAGAAAUCAGCAAGCGCCAUGCUCAGUCCAACCCCGUGGCUUCAGGGUGCCCGAGUUCGUCGCGACCAUCAGUUUGGAGACCUGCGUCACUGCCCGUGUCGCUACCAUGGCCACCUGCAUCACUGCGUGCUCCGUCAACAGCCUCCUGCACAAGGAAAAGCAACCGGAGUAGAGGCUUUUGAGAUGCUCUGUUCUAGCGAGGUGGCUAAUUAUGUUUGUCAGUUUGUAAUACUUUGGCCGCAGUUUACUUAUGUAUCUUUUUCUGGCCGGAGCACGACCAGAGCUUAUGUCAGUAUGAACUUUGAUUGUGAUGGUACUACAAACUCUAUAAUUACUUACCUUUUAUAUAAUUCACUUGGAGUGCCCCUAUUACCAACUAUGGUACAAAAAUGCACUGUGCUCACCAUUUUAUUUUAGUUCAUCAGUUUGUAAUACUUUAAAGAGAGGAGGUAAUAGUGAACCAUUCGGUUUUGUAUUAUAAAAAGUGUUAAUGUGAGAAACUUCAAAAACAUCUUGUUUAAUAA